CCUUUACACUGGGAGAGUUGGAAAGGCCAACUGAGAGAAAGACCCUACGAAGUCUUUGAUCCCUAUUACCUGAUCUGGAUCAUGCCAGCGUAGGAAAGUGUAUUUGACAAGGU
rnacentral:ncRNA from 2 species